rnacentral:rRNA from 1 species
UACGAAGGGGGCGAGCGUUGUUCGGAAUUAUUGGGCGUAAAGGGCGCGUAGGCGGCCGGAUAAGUCUGACGUGAAAUCCCUCGGCCUAACCGGGGAACUGCGUUUGAUACUGUCCAGCUCGAGUCCGGGAGAGGGUAGUGGAAUUCCCAGUGUAGCGGUGAAAUGCGUAGAUAUUGGGAGGAACACCAGUGGCGAAGGCGACUACCUGGCCUGUUCUUGACGCUGAGGCGCGAAAGCUAGGGGAGCAAACGGG